CCACAAAAGUGCCAGCAGUCACAAGGCUCGCACCACCUGAUAGAUAAGGCACUGGAGCUAGCAUGAACCCACUCCUGCCCCUGCUCACUUCCUCCCCUGUCUUUUAGAAGUGCCCACUUUCUGUUCCAAAAGCAAAGUGGGACAGCUAAAUGCAAGACAGAUGCCUGUGCCACUUCCCCAAGCUAGCUUUGGAAUAAAUAACCUUAUUUGUGCCAGACCUCAUUCUAAAUAAUUGGACUCUGCAAGUGGCCAGCAACUAACCUACUCUACUGUUGAGUUAGAGCUCUGGGUUGCCCACCAGCCUCCAGGGAAUGUCCUUACAAUGAAAUGCACUGUGGGGAGCAUCACACCAUCCCGUCCCAUGACAAAAUGAAAUGCACUGUGGGGGUAUUGCCCGGUCCAGUCCUGUGCUGAAAUCAAAUGCACUGUGGAGGCACUGCACUGUCCAGUCCCAUGACAAAAUGAAAUGCACUGUAGGAGCAUCACGCCGUCCAGUCCCGUGCCGAGAUGAAAUGCACCGUGGGAGGAUCACACCGUUCAGUCCUUCUCCCUCUGAUGCCAAGCCGAAGCUGGACUGUACUGCCGCCAUCUCUGCUCACUGCAACCUCCCUGCCUGAUUCUCCUGCCUCAACCUGCCGAGUCAUGUUUUUGGAGAUGAAAAUUUACAGUUCCCUCACAAUUGUUUAGGGCAUGAAACAGUUAAGAGAUUAAUAGUCUGAAGUGAGGGAGAGAAACUAUUUGAAAAAUGGCAAAUGAAGAAUCUUACGAGUCGAUAAGAUCUGCUUCUGUUUGUGUGUUUGUGUGUCUAUGUGUUUACGUAUGUCAUGUGUAUGUCAUGUUUCACUACCAAAAUACAUGAAAGAGCUCUAAUUAAUUGGCUUAAGGAAAAGGUAAGCACUUAAAUCAAAUAUUUUAUCAGAAAAACAGAAACGUUAACUCAAAUGAGUUCUAGUUCAGGUGACUCUAGCAAUCUUUGGUAAA
rnacentral:lncRNA from 1 species